GCUGUGGAUAGGGGUGAAAGGCUAAACAAAUCCGGAAAUAGCUGGUUCUCCCCGAAAACUAUUUAGGUAGUGCGUCUUAUAUCACUGACGGGGGUAAAGCACUGUUAUGGCUAGGGGUCAUUGCGACUUACCAAACCAUGGCAAACUCUGAAUACCGUCAAGUGCGAGUAAGGCAGACAGACAGUGGGUGCUAACGUCCAUUGUCAAGAGGGAAACAACCCAGACCGCCAGCUAAGGUCCCCAAGACACAGUUAAGUGGGAAACGAAGUGGGAAGGCAUAGACAGCUAGGAGGUUGGCUUAGAAGCAGCCACCCUUUAAAGAAAGCGUAAUAGCUCACUAGUCGAGUCGUCCUGCGCGGAAGAUGUAACGGGGCUCAAACUGUGCACCGAAGCUGCGGAUAUCGAAAGAUAUGGUAGGGGAGCGUUCUGUAGGUCUGUGAAGGUGUCUUGUAAAGGAUGCUGGAGAUAUCAGAAGUGCGAAUGCUGACAUGAGUAGCGAUAAA
rnacentral:rRNA from 1 species